UACGUAUGGUGCAAGCGUUGUCCGGAAUUAUUGGGCGUAAAGAGCUCGUAGGCGGUUUGUCGCGUCGAAUGUGAAAACCCGGGGCUCAACUCCGGGCCUGCAUUCGAUACGGGCAGACUAGAGUUCGGUAGGGGAGUCUGGAAUUCCUGGUGUAGCGGUGAAAUGCGCAGAUAUCAGGAGGAACACCGGUGGCGAAGGCGGGACUCUGGGCCGAUACUGACGCUGAGGAGCGAAAGCGUGGGGAGCAAACAGG
rnacentral:rRNA from 1 species